GUCGAGAGAGAGAGAGAGAGAGAGAGAGAGAGAGAGAGAGCUGGGAGCUCCCUGACCCGAGACGCAGCGCGACCCGACAACGUGACCCGGCCAUUGCGCCACGUUCCGGCCACCCCAAGACGGCGCCCAGGUGCCAUUCCCUUCGUCUUUUCGUCGCCUACGUUCCUGUGUCCUCGGAUCAUACAUGCAACGAUCGUGAACUGAGAAUCAACGGCGAGUUUCUGCAACUUCCGGCGACUCCGGCCACCGUUUGGGCCACCUGGGGUAUGAAACCUCCUCUCCCCUUCAUGCUCUUCAAGUCUGUGUAAUUAGUUCUUCCAUUCGAUCGAUUUUGACUGAUUUGCGUUUUGGGUAGCCACGGCUCCGCCGUGUCCUUCGAGUCCAGCAACGUCUCCAGCGCUUCUAGCUUAGGUGGUGUGCGACAGAUGAUUCACUAUUCGUACUCUACACGCUGGCGUACCUAGUCUGCGAGUUCGAUCAAGAUUUUGGAGAAACUGAGUUGAUAGCAGUGGAACUUUGAAGGUAUAAUUCGAAUCUUGAAUAGUUAGAGAAUUGAAAUUGGCUUGGUACUGUGAUGUUGAUGUCUCUCUGUGAAUCUGUCAUGUUGGCUUACUCUGGGUGUUUGGAGCUUGUGAAUGAGCUGAUCGAGUAAAGGGCAUAGCAGUGGCUCUGUACCGUGUUGAGUUUGAGAAGCUUGGUUCAUGAAUGAUUCCUAUGAACUAUGAUCAAAGGAUUCCAGUUACCCGGAAUGCGAGUUUACUCGGAAAACAAGCUAUGGUGGUGUUGGCCUAGAAAAGCAAAUGAAGUCAAAGUUGCAAUAUUCCAGGUAGGGGAUUCUAGACUCGCCUCAGUAACUUUUAUGCAUAUAUUUUAAGGAAAUUAAAGAUGCAUGAAAAAGAAUUUGGUUUUUAUUGCAUUUCCUAUAAGUUAUUGUUUGAUGACCUGAGAGUGAGAGGAGCAUAGUGACUUCCUUGGGCUUCGAUCCCCUAAACCUCCAGAGGGGCUGUAUGGACUGAAAAGUGUCUGACAUCCGUUGAGGUGUGGCACUGCUUCUAGGUGAUACGGUGUAAGAGAACACUCUAGCUACACAUUGCAGGUGUAAACGGUAUUAAUCGUGGUAAGGUUUUAGUUGGCAUAGCGAUCGGUCAUCAAGUCUGUUUCAUUCUUUUGGGCCCUACUAUAUUUUUAUAAACGAACUACGGUUUGUGGUUUCAAACAUCUUUAUCUAUAUGCAUUGUUUCUCACUUACUUUGUCGGCAUCUAUAUUUUAAAUUAUUUUUGCACCUAGCUGGGGUAGAGUCUUAUUGAGCAGCGAGGACGAAAGCUCACCCCCUACAACAGUUUGUGGAUGCAAGUACUGUGUACGAAGACGGGGCAGUUGGAUGAUGCUAAUUGUGGCUUAGUUACCUUGUACUUUAAAUGGUCAUCGACGGAGUUAGAUCCGCGUGACAGGUUCUCUUAUUACCUUUACUCUCGUGUAACUUGUUUACCGAGGUUGUGAUUAUUUGUAAAAUACCUCUUUUGUAUAUUUUUCGGACUUUGGCCUUGAACUGGAUGAACUUUCGAUAAUUGAUUUGAAAUGACUUGUAUUUGUUUUCUUUAAA